rnacentral:rRNA from 1 species
UGAGGAAUAUUGGUCAAUGGGGCGAGAGCCUGAACCAGCCAAGUAGCGUGCAGGACGACGGCCCUAUGGGUUGUAAACUGCUUUUGCGCGGGGAUAAAGUGCGCCACGUGUGGCUCAUUGCAUGUACCUUAUGAAUAAGGACCGGCUAAUUCCGUGCCAGCAGCCGCGGUAAUACGGAAGGUCCGGGCGUUAUCCGGAUUUAUUGGGUUUAAAGGGAGCGUAGGCCGGAGAUUAAGCGUGUUGUGAAAUGUAGUGGCUCAACCUCUGCACUGCAGCGCGAACUGGUCUUCUUGAGUACGCACAACGUGGGCGGAAUUCGUGGUGUAGCGGUGAAAUGCUUAGAUAUCACGAAGAACUCCGAUUGCGAAGGCAGCUCACGGGAGC